CCCGCUGAACUUAAGCAUAUCAAUAAGCGGAGGAAAAGAAACUAACAAGGAUUCCCUUAGUAACUGCGAGUGAAGUGGGAAAAGCUCAGAUUUAGAAUCUGGCAGUCUCUUGGCUGUCCAAGUUGUAAUCUAAAGAAGUGCUGCCCGUGCUGGGCCAUGUACAAGUUUCCUGGAAUGGAGCAUCUCAGAGGGUGAGAAUCCUGUCUUUGACAUGAACUGCCAGUGCUUUUGUGGUACGCUCUCAAAGAGUCGAGUUGUUUGGGAAUGCAGCUCAAAAUGGGUGGUAAAUGCCAUCUAAAGCUAAAUAUUGGCGAGAGACCGAUAGCGAACAAGUACCGUGAGGGAAAGAUGAAAAGAACUUUGGAAAGAGAGUUAAACAGUACGUGAAAUUGCUGAAAGGGAAACGCUUGAAGUCAGUCACGUUGACUCGGAAUCAGCUCUGCUUUUGCUGGGUGUACUUUCUUGUCAAUGGGUCAGCAUCAAUUUUGACCGCUGGAAAAGGGCCUGGGGAAUGUGGCAGCUUCGGCUGUGUUAUAGCCCCUGGUCACAUACGGCGGUUGGGAUUGAGGAACUCAGCACGCCGCAAGGCCGGGUUUCGACCACGUUCGUGCUUAGGAUGCUGGCAUAAUGGCUUUAAGCGACCCGUCUUGAAACACGG
rnacentral:rRNA from 1 species